rnacentral:rRNA from 1 species
UACGAGAGGCCCAAACGUUAUUCGGAUUUACUGGGCUUAAAGAGUUCGUAGGCGGCGCAGAAAGUAGGGUGUGAAAGCCCUCGGCUCAACCGAGGAAUUGCGCUCUAAACUACUGCGCUCGAGGAACCUAGAGGUGAGCAGAACUGAUGGUGGAGCGGUGAAAUGCGUUGAUAUCAUCAGGAAUACCGGAGGCGAAGGCGGCUCACUGGGGGUUUUCUGACGCUGAGGAACGAAAGCCAGGGGAGCGAACGGG